AGACACACCUGUUCCUGGUCAUGAGCUGGUGGCCAGGGGCUUGCUCUAUCACUACGUGCAGGAGCAGGGCGGCCUGGCUGAGGACGAGGCCAGGGCCCUGUUCGGCCAGGCGCUGGCCGCCGUGAGCUACUGCCAUGGCCAGCACGUGGCGCACCGGGACCUCAAGCUGGACAACCUGCUGCUGGACGAGCACAUGAACAUCAAGCUGGCGGACUUCGGGCUGAGCCUGCGGCUGGAGCAGGGCACGCUGGUAAGGGACGCCUGCGGGACCCCCGAGUACUGUGCACCAGAGUUUUCCUCGAGGAGGACUACGAUGCAUUAAAGGCCAACGUGUGGAGUCUGGGGGUGGUGCUGUUUGCCAUGCUGGAGGCCACGCUGCCCUUCGGCGGCAAAGACUUGGAAGAGCUGCAGGACCGGGUGCUGUGCGGCUCCUACGUGGUGCCACGUGGCAUCAGCCCGGCCCUGCAGGAGCUGCUGGCGUGGCUGCUCACCGUUGACGCCUCGGGGAGGCCCAGUGCGGAGGACGCCAGCACCCACUCGUGGUUCAGCCUCAGCCGAGAAGCCGCCCAGGAGCACGAGGAGGGCGCGGUCACCCCGCUGCAGCCCCUGGGCGUUCCCCGGGACCUGGAGGCCAGGGAGUACCUGGCGGGCCUCGGCCUGCUGCCAGGCACAGGGACCGAGGGGACUCCAGGCCCUCAGCCCCAGGACCCUGCGUCCCUGCCCAAGUCCUCGCAGAACAGCAAGUUCCCCCCCAUAGAGGACGACGGCUUGGCUCUGGUGUCCUGUGACAGCAUGGCCGUCAACGUUUCCUCCGCACAAAGCGACUCCUCCGAGGCCCCCAGCCAGCCACAGCAGGAGAGGAGCCCUGCUCCCAGCGCCGCCCCCGACUCCCCCAAAGUCUCCAGCCAGCCACAGCAGGAGAGGAGCCCUGCUCCCAGUGCCGCCCCCGACUCCUCCAAGCCCUCCAGCCAGCCACAGCAGGAAAGGAGCCCUGCUCCCAGCGCAGCCCCCCAGCCAGCCUCCAAGGCGUCGCCCUCCAGCCCCAAUGCCAGGAGCCGUGUGGACCUCGCAGAGCCAGAAGCCGCCGCAGCUGCCCGUGAGCCUGAGGGGGCUGGGACCGCAGCCACCGCUGACACCACAGACUCCACAGCCAGCGCCCAGGACAAGAGGCAGGGCCGGCACGGGGUCGGCAGGAGGAUCCUCCGGUUCCUGCCGAGGGCGUGCUGCAUCCUGCCGUCCUGAGGGAGCAGCCCUGGUCACUGCUGCCGCAGAGUGGCCCCCAAGUAGCCUCGCUCCGCCCCCGUCACCAGGAGCAAUGCGCAGGCUGAGCUGACUGAACGUUUUUCUUUUCUUGAACAUUUGCAAAUGCUUCUCAUGAAUAAACUUCACCUUUGUGCGUGCCUUUGGUCCCGU
rnacentral:lncRNA from 1 species